rnacentral:lncRNA from 1 species
GAGGGCAUCAGCAAGUUCAAAGUCAACAACACCAUUCUUCACCCAGAGAUCGUUUAGUGCCGAGUGUUUAAGACGGACAUAGAGCUGGAGGUUCUGCACUACACCAAUAAAAUCUCCAGUGAGACCCACUGUGAGUUCUGGAAUAUAAAGGAGAGAAGGCUGAAAAGUGAAGGGUGCAACCUAAGACUCUGACCAGUGACUAGGAGUUUUCCAGAGGAGGAAGAACGGGAAAGGCAUUUCAGGAAAAGGCCAGCAUGAACACGCAUAUGAAGCUGCACGCAGGUGCAGAAAAAGGGAGUGGCAGCCUAUUUUUUCUGACUGUAAAAUGGACUACAAGAGAAAAUUCCUGCUCAGAGGGUGCCCUCUCUUGCAGUAAAAAUCCUUUUUGAAGAUGGUCAAUAACAUGAGGACAUAGAGCAGAAUCACAUUCUGUUUCUACAAAACACCCCCACCACCAUUUUAAACUACAAAUCUGCCAAACAAAAGAUCAUCCAAAAGACACUUUUUGAGUGCAUUGCAGAACUGGGAGGGUAUCUUCUUCCGAAGUAAUUUCAUUUUUCAGGCUUGCAAUAAUAAAAUGAUCUUAAGAG